GACCUGUCCUCUGCCGUUUUUCUGGGAAAGGGAGGCUCGGGCAGUGCUUCGGGUCAAGCUAACAGCCUAGUUGCGACUCCCGUACACAGUCUUAAUGUUUGAUUUUGGGAAGGUUCAACCUCUGCCUCUAUCCCUCAACAUAUGGGUGACCUAUUUGCUUGUAAAAAUAUAAAGCCUUAUCAUUAAUUAAUAAAAAAAGGGGGAUCUGUAGGGAGCCGUCCCUGCAUUCUCCAUUACAAGAUGGCGCCUGCAUCCGGCAGGCA
rnacentral:lncRNA from 1 species